CCUACGGGAGGCAGCAGUGAGGAAUAUUGGUCAAUGGACGAGUGUCUGAACCAGCCAAGCAGCGUGAAGGAUGACUGUACAAUGGGUUGUAAACUUCUUUUAUAUGGGAACAAAACCGGGUAUGCAUACCCUCUUGUAUGUACCAUAUGAAUAAGCAUCGGCUAACUCCGUGCCAGCAGCCGCGGUAAUACGGAGGAUCCGAGCGUUAUCCGGAUUUAUUGGGUUUAAAGGGAGCGGAGGGGGAUUGUUAAGUCAGUUGUGAAAGUUUGGGGCUCAACCGUAAAAUUGCAGUUGAAACUGGCAGUCUUGAGUACAGGAGAGGUGGGCGGAAUUCGUGGUGUAGCGGUGAAAUGCAUAGAGAUCACGAAGAACUCCGAUUGCGAAGGCAGCUCACUGGACUGCAACUGACACUGAGGCUCGAAAGUGUGGGUAUCAAACAGGAUUAGAUACCCUGGUAGUC
rnacentral:rRNA from 1 species